GCAGCAGCCGCGGGAAUACAGAGGGUGCGAGCGUUAAUCGGAUUUACUGGGCGUAAAGCGUGCGUAGGCGGCUUCUUAAGUCGGAUGUGAAAUCCCUGAGCUUAACUUAGGAAUUGCAUUCGAUACUGGGAAGCUAGAGUAUGGGAGAGGAUGGUAGAAUUCCAGGUGUAGCGGUGAAAUGCGUAGAGAUCUGGAGGAAUACCGAUGGCGAAGGCAGCCAUCUGGCCUAAUACUGACGCUGAGGUACGAAAGCAUGGGGAGCAAACAGGAUUAGAGACCCCGGUAGUCCCUGUCUCUUAUAC
rnacentral:rRNA from 1 species